AGCUGGUUUUCGGAUAGGUCAAAGCUGUUCACUGAUAGGACAUACGUGUGGAACUAUCAUCAAAGAAUGCAAGAUGAAUUACGAAGUGAAAACAGACUAGACAGAGAAACGGAUAAAUGUAUCUGAACUAUGUAAAGUAACAUUCACUUAGGGAGUUUGGUGGCUGAGUGGUAAAGAGAUUGGUUUCCGAAUCGUAAGGUCCUAGUGAAGACUGGAUGUACAUUCUUCAGUUCUUUAAUGUACAUAGCCUGAGACAACAGGACAUUGUACAUUGAUUCAUAUAGCUGUUCUUUAGUUAUAAACUUUUUGUCAUUUUAUAUGAAAAGACUAACAGCAAUCAUCUGAAUGUUUCUAUCAAUGUAACGUAGUCUAACAACAGUUUUGUGACAUUUGUUUUAAAUGCAUGACACUUCUGUUUAGAUAAUCAUUGUCGAUUUUGUCAAUAUAUUGUCAUGGUAUGGAUGUAAACAAUUGAAAAUGUAAUAGGAAUAUGUUUUGCCAAAUAAAUCACAGUUUAUUGUUUAAUA
rnacentral:sRNA from 1 species